CAUCCAGAGAACUUAGCAGAGAUGCUUUGGUGCCUUCGGGAACUCUGAGACAGGUGCUGCAUGGCUGUCGUCAGCUCGUGUUGUGAAAUGUUGGGUUAAGUCCCGNAACGAGCGCAACCCUUAUCCUUUGUUGCCAGCGGUUCGGCCGGGAACUCAAAGGAGACUGCCGGUGAUAAACCGGAGGAAGGUGGGGAUGACGUCAAGUCAUCAUGGCCCUUACGGCCAGGGCUACACACGUGCUACAAUGGCGCAUACAAAGAGAAGCGACCUCGCGAGAGCAAGCGGACCUCAUAAAGUGCGUCGUAGUCCGGAUUGGAGUCUGCAACUCGACUCCAUGAAGUCGGAAUCGCUAGUAAUCGUAGAUCAGAAUGCUACGGUGAAUACGUUCCCGGGCCUUGUACACACCGCCCGUCACACCAUGGGAGUGGGUUGCAAAAGAAGUAGGUAGCUUAACCUUCGGGAGGGCGCUUACCACUUUGUGAUUCAUGACUGGGGUGAAGUCGUAACAAGGUAAGCGUAGCGAG
rnacentral:rRNA from 1 species